rnacentral:lncRNA from 1 species
AAACUGCCAAUUUAAAAAUAAAAAGUUUUCCUUUUAAAAAAUAAAAAAGUUUAUUUAUUCAGAUACUAUUGAGAAUAAUAGAAUAAGAUAAUAAAUAAAAAUAUGUAUCAUCUAUUAUUUAUCAAAAGAAAGUAGCAUUCAAAAAUAUAAAUAAAAUAAUAUGCUAAUAAAAGUUUCUAUUAACAAUGCAAUAAUACUAAAUAUUAGAUAAUAUCUAUAUCUAUAUAUUAUUGAAACGAGAGGAAAAAACCCUCUCCUUAAGUCAAGUGGCAGCCUAGAAAAAACCACAUGGCAUUAGAUGCCUAUAUACAACAACAACAACAACAACAACAACAACAACUACCCAG